UUGCGUAAACUGCUAUCAAGGUAGCUACAAGCUGAGCAAUUACGAAUGCACUGACUAGAAGAAGUCCAGGACGUUCAACAAAGGACCAGCUGCGAGACCUUGUGACAAAAAUAAGGGCCUGGCUCACAAUACUCACUUGUAGGUAUAAAGCUGCCAUCAUUUCACGUUCCCUGCCAUGCAAUGAUCUUACGCCAAACUUGUCCGAAA
rnacentral:misc_RNA from 1 species